CCUACGGGAGGCAGCAGUAGGGAAUAUUGCUCAAUGGGGGAAACCCUGAAGCAGCAACGCCGCGUGGAGGAUGACGGUUUUCGGAUUGUAAACUCCUUUUGUUAGAGAAGAUAAUGACGGUAUCUAACGAAUAAGCACCGGCUAACUCCGUGCCAGCAGCCGCGGUAAUACGGAGGGUGCGAGCGUUACUCGGAAUCACUGGGCGUAAGGCGCGCGUAGGCGGGAUAGCAAGUCAGAUGUGAAAUCAUAUGGCUUAACCAUAGAACUGCAUUUGAAACUGUUAUUCUAGAGUAUAGGAGAGGUAGGUGGAAUUCUUGGUGUAGCGGUAAAAUCCGUAGAGAUCAAGAGGAAUACUCAUUGCGAAGGCGACCUGCUAAAACAUCACUGACACUGAUGCGCGAAAGCGUGGGGAUCAAACAGGAUUAGAUACCCCUGUAGUC
rnacentral:rRNA from 1 species